UUGACUUCACAUAUUGAAGAAUAUGAGGAACAACCGAGAGAGCUGGGCCUGUUUAGUCUGGAGAAGGGAAGACUGAGAGAGGAUCUUACCAAUGUGUAAAAGUAUCUGAAGGGAGGGUGUCCAGGGGACGGGGACAAACUCUUUUCAGUUGUCCCGUGUGACAGGACAAGAGGCAAUGGGCAGAAAUUGAAGCACAGCAAGUUCCAUCUGAACGUGAGGGGGAAUUUCUUCACUGGGAGAGUGACAGAGCACUGGCACAGGUUGCCCAGAGAGGCUGUGGAGUCUCCUUCUCUGGAGAUAUUCAAAGCUCGCCUGAAUGCAACCCUGUCUAACAGGCUCUAGGUGACCCUGCUUGAGCAGGGGGAGGUUGGACUAGAUGAUCUCCAGAGGUCCCUUCCAACCUUACCCAUUCUGUGAUUCUAGGGUGGAGAAUAGAUGCAUGGCUUCUGCAAGUAUCAGGAUGUACUCAUGGUCUCCAUGGAUUACCUCCUCAUACUUUGAAGUUGUUAAAUCAUUUUAGCUGAAACUUAAAAGGAGAAAAAAGAAAGAUUCAGCGUGAGGCAAGCAAACAGAUAAUGCCUGCCAACUAUGAACAUCCAAAAUCAAGCUCUUAUAUUAUUUGCAGCUGUUGGAUUCGCUCCCGGCUCUACUAGUACUAAGUGCUGGUACAGGACAGACUGGAACUAGGUUUCAGUUUUUUUUCUUCUGAGGCUGUCUGGGACUGUUAGUCCAAAGUGUAGGCUAGAGGAGCCACUGGAUGAAAUAUUGCACCAGACUCUUAAGAUACAACACCUAGGUCAAAGAAUAACCAGGAACAGCUGUUACUCCUGGUAGAGAAGAAAUAAAGUUGACAUUCCCCAUUGUAUAAAAGGAGCCAUUAGGGUUACACAGACAUAAAAAUUAAAU